rnacentral:rRNA from 1 species
AUUGAACGCUGGCGGAAUGCUUUACACAUGCAAGUCGAACGGCAGCACGGACUUCGGUCUGGUGGCGAGUGGCGAACGGGUGAGUAAUGUAUCGGAACGUGCCCAGUCGUGGGGGAUAACGUAGUGAAAAUUACGCUAAUACCGCAUACGAUCUAUGGAUGAAAGCGGGGGAUCGCAAGACCUCGCGCGAUUGGAGCGGCCGAUAUCAGAUUAGGUAGUUGGUGGGGUAAAUGCCCACCAAGCCAACGAUCUGUAGCUGGUCUGAGAGGACGGCCAGCCACACUGGAACUGCGACACGGUCCAGACGCCUACGGGAGGCAGCAGUGGGGAAUUUUGGACAAUGGGCGAAAGCCUGAUCCAGCCAUUCCGCGUGCAGGAUGAAGGCCCUCGGGUUGUAAACUGCUUUUGUACAGAACGAAAAGGUUUCUACUAAUACUAGGAGCUCAUGACGGUACUGUAAGAAUAAGCACCGGCUAACUACGUGCCAGCAGCCGCCGUAA